rnacentral:rRNA from 1 species
GACGGACGCUGGCGGCGUGCUUAACACAUGCAAGUCGAACGGAAAGGCCCUGCUUUUGUGGGGUGCUCGAGUGGCGAACGGGUGAGUAACACGUGAGUAACCUGCCCUUGACUUUGGGAUAACUUCAGGAAACUGGGGCUAAUACCGGAUAGGAGCUCCUGCUGCAUGGUGGGGGUUGGAAAGUUUCGGCGGUUGGGGAUGGACUCGCGGCUUAUCAGCUUGUUGGUGGGGUAGUGGCUUACCAAGGCUUUGACGGGUAGCCGGCCUGAGAGGGUGACCGGCCACAUUGGGACUGAGAUACGGCCCAGACUCCUACGGGAGGCAGCAGUGGGGAAUAUUGCACAAUGGGCGGAAGCCUGAUGCAGCAACGCCGCGUGCGGGAUGACGGCCUUCGGGUUGUAAACCGCUUUCGCCUGUGACGAAGCGUGAGUUACGGUAAUGGGUAAAGAAGCACCGGCUAACUACGUG